rnacentral:lncRNA from 1 species
AAAUUUCUUGCCCCUUUCAUUAUUUUCCAUAAAACCUAAUGCACUGUGUUGCAACUGGGGGAGAGAGAUGGGCUCCUGCAAGUUAAGAUAUUUAUACAGCUUCUGUUUUGUCACAGUGUGACCCAUGCUUUGAUGCAUAUUAUAUAAUUUUCCUCUGCCUUGCAGGAAAGACCACUACUCUCUGUUUUAUAAUUCUGCCACCUCAAAUGCCUGACCCAUUUAUAAUUUGUUGUCUGACUUUCAGCAUGCAUUCAGUUAUUUCCCUGGCCCAUCACUGUAGUAACUGCAAGAGAAUCCUCAUCCUGAAGAAGCUCAGAAAAGAUGAAAGCAGAAGCCUGAGGAACAAGCGCUGACAGAGAAUAAAGGAAAAUCUGAGAAGUAGCUCUGAGGACAUCAAAUAUGUUAAGUCUGCUCUGAUUUAUGGAGACUUUUUACUCCUGCAUUCAAUAACACCCAUGGCAAUUUGGGAGGACAUAAUAAAAUUUGGUAUAAACACGAAGAUUAUCUUCAGCAUUUGCAGCAGAAAUUUUGCACUUACAUUGAUCCUGUCAGCAGAAGGAACUUUAUGUUCUACUUUUCCUCUGGAGAGAUGGAAAGACUACUAAGGAUGGUGGCGAGGGGCAGAUGGAAGACAUCUGAAGAUGAGAAUAUCUCAGACUGAA